rnacentral:rRNA from 1 species
GACGAACGCUGGCGGCGUGCUUGAUACAUGCAAGUCGAGCGGAAAGACCAGGUUUUCGUUGUUGUGACGGUAUAGUCGGAUGGGGGAGUAACACGUGACAAAUCUGUCUUUUAGCCUGGGAUUGCUUCGAGAACCGGGAGCCUAUAUCUAAUACUAUAUUGAACCGCAUGGUUCUAUAGUUAAUGACGGACUUUCUUCUACUUAUUGGUGGAUCCGCGCCGCCUUAGCUAGUUGUUAAGGUAACGGUGUCCUAAGGCAACGAUGCGUAGCCGACCUGAGAGGGUGAUCGGCCACACUGGAACUGAGACACGGUCCAGACUCCUACGGGAGGCAGCAGUAGGGAAUCUUCAGCAAUGGGCGAAAGCCGGACGCAGCAACGCCGCGUGAGUGAUGAAGGUCUUCGGCUCGUAAAACUCUGUUAUUAGGGAAGAACAAAUGUGUAAGUAACUAUGCACGUCUUGACGGUACCUAAUCAGAAAGCAACGGCUAACUACGUG